UCUUCCACAAUGGACGAAAGUCUGAUGGAGCAACGCCGCGUGAGUGAAGAAGGGUUUCGGCUCGUAAAACUCUGUUGUUAAAGAAGAACAUAUCUGAGAGUAACUGUUCAGGUAUUGACGGUAUUUAACCAGAAAGCCACGGCUAACUACGUGCCAGCAGCCGCGGUAAUACGUAGGUGGCAAGCGUUGUCCGGAUUUAUUGGGCGUAAAGCGAGCGCAGGCGGUUUUUUAAGUCUGAUGUGAAAGCCUUCGGCUCAACCGAAGAAGUGCAUCGGAAACUGGGAAACUUGAGUGCAGAAGAGGACAGUGGAACUCCAUGUGUAGCGGUGAAAUGCGUAGAUAUAUGGAAGAACACCAGUGGCGAAGGCGGCUGUCUGGUCUGUAACUGACGCUGAGGCUCGAAAGUAUGGGUAGCAAACAGGAUUAGAUACCCUGGUAGUCCAUACCGUAAACGAUGAAUGCUAAGUGUUGGAGGGUUUCCGCCCUUCAGUGCUGCAGCUAACGCAUUAAGCAUUCCGCCUGGGGAGUACGGCCGCAAGGCUGAAACUCAAAGGAAUUGACGGGGGCCCGCACAAGCGGUGGAGCAUGUGGUUUAAUUCGAAGCUACGCGAAGAACCUUACCAGGUCUUGACAUACUAUGCAAAUCUAAGAGAUUAGACGUUCCCUUCGGGGACAUGGAUACAGGUGGUGCAUGGUUGUCGUCAGCUCGUGUCGUGAGAUGUUGGGGUUAAGUCCCGCAACGAGCGCAACCCUUAUUAUCAGUUGCCAGCAUUAAGUUGGGCACUCUGGUGAGACUGCCGGUGACAAACCGGAAGAAGGUUGGGGGA
rnacentral:rRNA from 2 species